AUACAGAGGGUGCGAGCGUUAAUCGGAAUUACUGGGCGUAAAGCGCGCGUAGGCGGUCUAUUAAGUCAGAUGUGAAAUCCCAGGGCUCAACCUUGGAACUGCAUCUGAAACUGGUAGACUAGAGUUUUGGAGAGGGAAGUAGAAUUUCAGGUGUAGCGGUGAAAUGCAUAGAGAUCUGAAGGAAUACCAGUGGCGAAGGCGACUUCCUGGCCAAAAACUGACGCUGAGGUGCGAAAGCGUGGGUAGCAAACGGGAUUAGAAACCCCGGUAGUCC
rnacentral:rRNA from 1 species